rnacentral:rRNA from 1 species
CAAUAGCGUAUAUUAAAGUUGUUGCAGUUAAAAAGCUCGUAGUUGGAUUUCUGGCUGGAGCGAUCGGUCCGCCCCGCAAGGGGUGUGUACUAGCGUCGUCUCCGACCAUCCUUGUGGGAACUGUGCGGCCGUUAACUCGGUUGUAUAUGGGAACACAUCGUUUACUGUGAAAAAAUUAGAGUGUUUAAAGCAGGCUUAAGCCGUUGAAUACAUUAGCAUGGAAUAAUAAGAUAAGACUUGGGUCAUUAUUUUGUUGGUUUGCGGAUCGAGGUAAUGAUUAAUAGGGAUAGUUGGGGGCAUUAGAAUCGACAUGUCAGAGGUGAAAUUCUUGAAUUUUGUCGCGUCUAACUUCUGCGAAAGCAUUUGCCAAGGAUGUUUUCAUUGAUCAAGAACGAAAGUUAGGGGAUCAAAGAUGAUCAGAUACCGU